rnacentral:rRNA from 1 species
UACGAAGGGGGCUAGCGUUGUACGGAUUUACUGGGCGUAAAGCGCACGUAGGCGGAUCGUUAAGUCGGGGGUGAAAUCCUGGAGCUCAACUCCAGAACUGCCUUCGAUACUGGCGAUCUUGAGUCCGGAAGAGGUGAGUGGAACUCCUAGUGUAGAGGUGGAAUUCGUAGAUAUUAGGAAGAACACCAGUGGCGAAAGGCGGCUCACUGGUCCGGUACUGACGCUGAGGUGCGAAAGCGUGGGAGCAAACAGG